CGAAAAAUUUGUCUAAAUCCAGUGUCUAAAUCACGUGACUAAACUGGCAAGAGAAGGGACAGCGGACAGUGAAUUUCUGACGAAGGUGCAACUCUAUUCCGACUUUUCCAGCGGCGCACGGCUCGAAGCUCUGGGUGUAUUUGACGCCCCAUAGGUAGAAGCACACGGCAGUUGAACGGUGACAAUACAACUACCUACGUAUACAUAUAUCUAUACGUGUCGGCAUACACGUAGGACAGGCACACGAAUUGGUCCUCGGUUGGACGUCACCCGAAACGCGAAACAGCGACGAGGAUUGGCGACGUCGCGACGCCUUGCAGAUUUAUUUAGAUUUAAGUAUGGACACUAAAGUCGAUGACGAGGGGCAUCGGAGUAUUAACGAUGGUGACUGGAUCUGCCCCGACUCCCAGUGUGGCAAUGUUAAUUUUGCUAGACGCAAUUCUUGUAAUCGGUGCGGCAAAGACAGAGGGGAAUGUCCUAAGAAAAAAAAGUUAGGACAAGAGAUCGGCAAAGCUGCUGCGGAGAAAAGCAGGGGCUUGUUUAGUGCGGAUGACUGGCAGUGCAGCAAGUGUGGUAAUGUGAAUUGGGCACGGAGACAGCAGUGCAAUAUGUGCAAUGCUCCGAAAUUUGGUGAGGUUGAGGAACGAACUGGGUAUGGAGGCGGUUACAAUGAUCGUGGAGUUGUCGAGUACAAGGAGCGAAAGGAUGACGAUGAUGACGAAUAUGACGAAUUUGGAAGGCGGAGGAAAAAGCGAAAACUCGAAAGCAGAACUUCCGACGAGGACUCCAAGGACUCAUUUAAAUAUGUCAGCCCACCCAGGAGCAAACCGAAAGAAGAUAUCAAAAUUGAGGAGCUGAAACCAGAGGGAAACAAAGAGGCUGAUAAUGAAGAUGAGGAGGAGGAAGAAGAGGAGGAUGACGAUGAUGGCGAUUUGUCCAAAUAUGAUCUCAGUGAAUGGGACGACUUUGUUCCAACCGAAAAAACCUUAAACUGCAAAGUUACAACCUCGCGAGAUCAACGGUCAAGGUAAACACGAAACGGUGGUGAAAGACUGGACUCUGGCACAUCCAGCCAAUAAAUGGCUGGACAGGACAGGUUUGAUGACACAAUACGCGACAAGAGUUGCUGAGUACCGAUGAGCGAUCAUUGCUGUAAGGUGUGGCACAGUGAUUUGAAAAUGGCAACGCCUGAUCCUGUGCCACUCGAAAUCAUGUUAAAAACGAGAAUGAACAGCACAUCCAGCACUCGUUAAUACCAUAGCAGAGACACGUUUACCGGUUACCACCUCACAAUCAAGUUUGCAGUCUUAGAUAAGCCUUUAGAUCUACUAAAACCAAACCAUUUUAUUCCACCGAGUGAUUUAUGACUUUUUUAUUCUCUUCAUUUGGAUCCUUUUUUCUCAUGAUAACUAUUGGGUCAUCGUCCUGCGCCUUAGAACAUUAUAAAUGCUAAUAUCACGAACUCGAAUUGCUUGAAUCAAGCCAAUAGUACCUAAUUAAAUAAGCGGGGAAUACAAACCCUCGUUGCGAUAUCCCAUUGCAGUAAUGAAGUUGAAAAAAACAAGAUCGGUUACACAAUGAAAUAUUACAGACCUGUGGCUAAUUUGAUACAGAAUUGCAUAAAACAAAAUUCGAAAUUACUCAAAACGUCGUGUUGAUAACGAUUAAUUUUUAGUAUUAUUAUAAAUAACGUUCUAUCAACUCGCACACAGUCACAUACAAAACAAUAAAGACAUUUGUCGUUGAUUACAAUGAUGACACCGUCCCAGUUUACGACACGGGUGAAAAAAAAAAAAAAGAAAAUUACUAAUUGAAUCCGAUGAUUUAUAUCCUC
rnacentral:misc_RNA from 1 species